UACGUAGGUGGCGAGCGUUAUCCGGAAUUACUGGGUGUAAAGGGUGAGUAGGCGGCAUGGUAAGCCAGAUGUGAAAGCCUUGGGCUUAACCCGAGGAUUGCAUUUGGAACUAUCAAGCUAGAGUACAGGAGAGGUAAGCGGAAUUCCUAGUGUAGCGGUAAAAUGCGUAGAUAUUAGGAGGAACACCAGUGGCGAAGGCGGCUUACUGGACAUUAACUGACGCUGAGGCACGAAAGCGUGGGGAGCAAACAGG
rnacentral:rRNA from 1 species